UUAUUGACAUUGACGUACCGAAGCAGCUUGGCAAUAAUGAGUGUGGGUUGUUCGCACUGCUUAACGCCACCGAGUGGAAUGGUAGCCAACUGCCCAACUACGACCCCAAGGAAGUACUCAACAUCAGGAAGAAGCUGACGUAUGAUUGGGUCACCAGCGUGCACAACACCGCCCCAUGGAGGAAGUUGCUGAGAUACGACAAGGAGUAGGUUUCCGUUUCGCAAGGAGCUCUUUUCAGAUUUUUCUGCACAUAAUUGGAUGCUACAUUUGAGAAGGAAAAUCCAGGUGAAAGAAGAAAGAAGAAUUGGAGGACAGAUUAUAGUUAUAUGUUUUUCAUCGCCGUUUAUGUUUCUAGAUCUGGUAUAUUUGAACAUAUUAAUAUGGUUUGCAAUAGGUGUGGGACCAGAAUAUAUG